rnacentral:lncRNA from 1 species
AAUAUGAGAAUAUGAAUUGAAAACAAAAGAUUGAGUGGAAAUGACCAUUACAAACUCAUAGAUUGCAACUACUGUAUACAUCAAUCACUAAAAAUUUAGAAGAAGAAAUGAAAAUAUAUAAACCACAGAUUAAGUUGCAAAAAAUCCAGGCUCCUCAUCUCCAAAUCCGGAUCCAUUUCCCACCGCAGCAACGUUGGUCCGUGUCAUGUGCCCCAAAAGACCUGCAAACCGGAAAACAGAAGCAAUGUGAGAGAAGCUAAUACCUUCGCCACGACACAUUUUAGCCUACCGUCUAAGAAGAGAGCAAGAUUGAAGAAAAUAUUCUUAUUCGAUGCUCACAUGGAAAGGGUAGUUCUAAAUACACCCCCCCUAUUGCUCAGGACACCCCCC